rnacentral:rRNA from 1 species
GAGUUUGAUCCUGGCUCAGAACGAACGCUGGCGGCAUGCCUAACACAUGCAAGUCGAACGAGACCUUCGGGUCUAGUGGCGCACGGGUGCGUAACGCGUGGGAAUCUGCCCUUUGCUUCGGAAUAACAGUUAGAAAUGACUGCUAAUACCGGAUGAUGUCUUCGGACCAAAGAUUUAUCGGCAAAGGAUGAGCCCGCGUAGGAUUAGGUAGUUGGUGGGGUAAAGGCCUACCAAGCCGACGAUCCUUAGCUGGUCUGAGAGGAUGAUCAGCCACACUGGGACUGAGACACGGCCCAGACUCCUACGGGAGGCAGCAGUGGGGAAUAUUGGACAAUGGGCGAAAGCCUGAUCCAGCAAUGCCGCGUGAGUGAUGAAGGCCUUCGGGUCGUAAAGCUCUUUUACCAGGGAUGAUAAUGACAGUACCUGGAGAAUAAGCUCCGGCUAACUCCGUGCCAGCAGCCGCGGUAAAGGGCGAAUUCGUU